rnacentral:lncRNA from 1 species
UUUCUUAGGUGAUGGUGAGGAUUAUGGGGGAGAGUGGAAGGAGUGACAUGGAUAAGGAGGUGAGGAUGGAGAUUGGGGUGUUGGUUGGUUUUUUAGUGGUUCAUUGUUUUAUUUUGUUUGAGGGGUUGGGGGGGAGUGUGAUUGUUGAGCAGUACGCUAGGCGUAGAUAGAAGAAAAGUCCUAGGAGUGAGAAAGGCUAAUAGGGUGAGUUUUGGGUUGUAGAUAAUGAUGAUGGUUAUUCAACCUAGAUGGGAGAUGGAUGAGAAAGCUAGGAUUUUUCAGGUUUGUGUUUGGUUAAGUCCUAUUCAACCACCUAGGGCGGUUGAUGUGAUGGCUAUGGUGGUGAGUAGUAUAGGGUUGAGUGAGUGUGAUGUAAGGAAUAGGAUGGCGGUUGGUGGGAGUUUUAUUACUGUUGACAGUAAUAUGGCUGUGGUGAGAGAUGAGCCUUGGAGUACUUCUGGGAAUCAGAAGUGGAAUGGGGCUAGUCCUAGUUUGAUGGCAAUUGCGGUGGUUAGUAGGAGGCAUGAUGGGGAGUUGGUGAGUUGGGUGAUGUCUCAUUGUCCAGUGGACCAUGCGUUGGUUAUGCUUGAGAAGAGAACUAGUGCUGAGGCGGUUGCUUGUACUAGAAAGUAUUUGAUUGUUGCUUCAAUGGCUCGGGGGUGGUGGGACUUUGAGAUUAGGGGAAUAAUGGCUAGGGUGUUGAUUUCUAGCCCGGUUCAGGCUAUUAUUCAGUGGUUGCUUGAGAUUGUGAUUGUUGUUCCUAGGAGUAAGUUUAGGGUUAAGAUGAGUUUUGCAUGGGGGCUCAU